AAAAUCGAAUACUUCCGGAAAUAAAAUUGUGAUAAAAUCACAUUUACGUUUACAGUGUUUUUCUUACUUCUUAAAAUGGCCAAACUUAGAUUGUUGGAAAUCUUAAUGUUUAUCUUUGUAUUGUAUCAGAUCCAUAACGGUAACUGUGAAGAAGUCAAGGCUACUGAAAUAACAGAAGGAUAUGAAGAUGUGAUAGGUAAACCCUCACAUUGAAAAAAUGUAAACUUUCAAAUUCAUUGCUUAAUAAUGUGCGCACAGUCAAUACUAAAAAAGAAACAAAAAUGUUCACUAUAUGGUGAUUUUUUAAAGCGUGUCAUUGUCGAUAACCAGUAUAAAACGAACCAUUGACUCUUGUAUAUGUUAAAGGACCGAAUUUGGAUUGAACAUCACUUGAAGUUUCACAUAUAAAAAUGUUACAAAACUAAAAAGUGCCCUAUACUUAAUGGCAACUUUCUCCCUUGUAGUUUCAUCAAAGACCUAAUAAGCGAAUUAUUUUGAACAACAUAGUUUGCAUAAAUAAUAUUUUUCUUUUAUAUUUGAUACCAUGAAAAAAGGUUAUACCAGCGGUAUAUGGUGUAUAAUGGACGGGUUUAUAAGUAAUCAAUAAAGAGCUGCUUUGAAGUCUAAUUUUGAUCAUCAUGUUUUGUUUUCAUAUGGACGGCAUUGCAUUGCCAUUCCCGUGGGGCGAGAGCUUGUCCAAUCCGGGUAUAUGAAAAUGCAGGGCGAAGUCACAAUUGAUGGUAUUGAAAUGAGUUAUUUUUGUGAAAUAACUCCCGGGAAGAGAGACGAACUGUGAUCAUGUUAACCUGAGUGAAGAUCGUAUUUGGAGGACGCUUAAUAGAAAUUCUACAGGCCUCUGACAUCAUAACGUCAACUGACCUUCUAGAUAUUCUGCGCCUACACUAGAAAGAAUAUAGAAUUUAAUUGCAUCAUAAGCCGAUCCAGUAUUGUACACUUUAUUGUCGCAAGAAAUCGUUCCCGUAGUGCAAGCAAAUAUCAUAUUGUCACACCUGACGUAAAGUCUACAAAGACCAUUAGUUUCUUUGCCUAUUCUAACGUUGUCAAUGUGAAUUAACUGUCAAAGAAAACUGCUUGCUUAUUUAUAAAGGCCUCCAAUGUUUGACUGUAUAUAUUUUUAUUUUAUGUUUUAUUAUUUGAAUGAAUUUUGCUGUUCCUUUUGUAAAUGUUUAAAAUAUUGAUUUAGAAAAUAAAUAUAAAUUAGUGUAUAAGCUAAUUUGUUGGAUACUUCGGAGAAAUUUGUACACUAGAAUAUGUUGCAAAGUUUAUUCCCUGAAACGUUUUCUUUGUACUGACCUCGUGUAAACAAAACAUUUUUUUUUGGUCUCACCAGAGUUUGAGUUUGUUACUUUAAUAUCAAUUUUACUAAAACUUCAAAAUUAAAUUCCAACUGACACUUACCAUCAAUACUGAAUAGUCACUUGAAAAUAAUUAUUAACUUAAAAUUAAGUUUCAAACAUGCUAUUUAGAUAUAACUGACAAAUAAAGUUUCAUUAUCAAACUCAGCUGAAACUGAAAAUGUUUUGUGAACAUGGGGCCAGGACAUUCUUCCGUUAUACUCAAAGACGAAAACUUCUACCGUCGAAAUUUAUUCGGUGCAUACUUUAGUUUGAACUGAUUUUUUGAUAUUUGUGAGCUAAUUUCCGUCUAAAGGUUGAACUUCUUGAUUAAACUUAUUUUUGCUAUUGUUCACGUUAUAUUGCAUGGUUUUAAGUCAUGCCAAGUCAUGACAGUGUAGCUCAUUUGAUGUAUUUUUACACCUUUAAAUCCACAGUUAGCACCAACGGACUUUAUAUCAGGUCAAAAGUAUGUGUUUAAUUCUAAAGGUAAAUAACGCGUAGUUGAAAAAGAUUGACCCACAUAUUCCAAAAAAAAAAAAGAGAGACAAUUUUAAAAGAUCAGCAAAUUAUUGCUAUAUCUCUUAUGAUUUGGGUGAACGAUAAACCGUAAGCAAAACACAUGGAACAGACAAAACGACCAGACAUGUACUAUUCUACAAUUAUAAAAUGGACAGACCUUGUCCACCAAGUAGUUCUUCGGGCAACUUCGACAAUUUCCGACGAUCAAAAUCU